GACGAACGCUGGCGGCGUGCUUAACACAUGCAAGUCGAACGGAAAGGCCCUGCUCUUGUGGGGUUCUCGAUUGGCGAACGGGUGAGUAUCACGCGUGUAUCCUGCCCUUGUCUUUGGGGUAACUCCACGAGACUGCGGCUAAUACCGGGUAGAAUCUUCUGCUCCACGUGGGGGGUUGGAAAGUGUCGGCGGUGGGGGCUGGACUCGCGGCUUAUCAGCUUGUUGGGCUGGUUGUUGCUUACCAAGGCUGUGACGGGUAGCCGGCCUGGGAGGGUGACCGGCCACAUUGGGACUGAGGUACGGCGCAGACUCCUACGGGCGGCAGCAGUGGGGAAUAUUGCAGAAUGGGCGGACGCCUGAUGCAGCAACGCCGCGUGCGGGAUGACGGCCUUCGGGUUGUAAACCGCUUUCGCCUGUGACGAAGCGUGAGUGACGGUAAUGGGUAAGGAAGCACCGGCUAACUACGUG
rnacentral:rRNA from 1 species